GCGCGGGGGCAACCCUGGCGGCGAGCGGCGAACGGGUGAGUAAUGCAUCGGAACGUGUCCUCUUGUGGGGGAUAACCAGUCGAAAGACUGGCUAAUACCGCAUGAGAUCGAGAGAUGAAAGCAGGGGACCGCAAGGCCUUGCGCGAGAGGAGCGGCCGAUGCCGGAUUAGCUAGUUGGUGGGGUAAUAGCCCACCAAGGCGACGAUCCGUAGCUGGUCUGAGAGGACGACCAGCCACACUGGGACUGAGACACGGCCCAGACUCCUACGGGAGGCAGCAGUGGGGAAUUUUGGACAAUGGGGGCAACCCUGAUCCAGCCAUGCCGCGUGUGUGAAGAAGGCCUUCGGGUUGUAAAGCACUUUCGGCCGGAACGAAAUCGCGCGAGUUAACACCCCGCGUGGAUGACGGUACCGGAAGAAGAAGCACCGGCUAACUACGUGCCAGCAGCCGCGGUAAUACGUAGGGUGCGAGCGUUAAUCGGAAUUACUGGGCGUAAAGUGUGCGCAGGUGGCCGCGCAAGUCGAGUGUGAAAUCCCCGGGCUUAACUUGGGAAUUGCGCUCGAAACUACGUGGCUAGAGUGUGGCAGAGGAAGGUGGAAUUCCACGUGUAGCGGUGAAAUGCGUAGAGAUGUGGAGGAACACCGAUGGCGAAGGCAGCCUUCUGGGCCAACACUGACGCUCAUGCACGAAAGCGUGGGGAGCAAACAGGAUUAGAUACCCUG
rnacentral:rRNA from 1 species